UACGAAGGGGGCUAGCGUUGCUCGGAAUCACUGGGCGUAAAGCGCACGUAGGCGGAUUCUUAAGUCGGGGGUGAAAUCCUGGAGCUCAACUCCAGAACUGCCUUCGAUACUGGGAAUCUUGAGUCCGGGAGAGGUGAGUGGAACUGCGAGUGUAGAGGUGAAAUUCGUAGAUAUUCGCAAGAACACCAGUGGCGAAGGCGGCUCACUGGCCCGGUACUGACGCUGAGGUGCGAAAGCGUGGGGAGCAAACAGG
rnacentral:rRNA from 1 species